rnacentral:rRNA from 1 species
UACGUAGGGUGCGAGCGUUAAUCGGAAUUACUGGGCGUAAAGCGUGCGCAGGCGGUAAGUUAAGUCUGAUGUGAAAGCCCCGGGCUCAACCUGGGAAUGGCAUUGGAAACUGGCUUGCUAGAGUGUGGCAGAGGGGGGUGGAAUUCCGCGUGUAGCAGUGAAAUGCAUAGAGAUGCGGAGGAACACCGAUGGCGAAGGCAGCCCCCUGGGCCGACACUGACGCUGAGGUGCGAAAGCCAGGGGAGCGAACGGG